rnacentral:rRNA from 1 species
GAUCCCCCACACUGGUACUGAGACACGGACCAGACUCCUACGGGAGGCAGCAGUGAGGAAUAUUGGACAAUGGGAGCAAUCCUGAUCCAGCCAUGCCGCGUGCAGGAAGACUGCCCUAUGGGUUGUAAACUGCUUUUAUACAGGAAGAAAAAGCCCGACGUGUCGGGUGUUGACGGUACUGUAAGAAUAAGGAUCGGCUAACUCCGUGCCAGCAGCCGCGGUAAUACGGAGGAUCCAAGCGUUAUCCGGAAUCAUUGGGUUUAAAGGGUCCGUAGGCGGGAUGAUAAGUCAGUGGUGAAAGUUUGCGGCUCAACCGUAAAAUUGCCAUUGAUACUGUUGUUCUUGAGUGCUUGUGAAGUGGUUAGAAUGAGUAGUGUAGCGGUGAAAUGCAUAGAUAUUACUCAGAAUACCGAUUGCGAAGGCAGAUCACUAACAAUUCACUGACGCUGAUGGACGAAAGCGUAGGUAGCGAACAGGAUUAGAUACCCUGGUAGUCUACGCCGUAAACGAUGGUUACUAGCUGUUCGGUACGAUUGAGUACUGAGUGGUUAAGCGAAAGUGAUAAGUAACCCACCUGGGGAGUACGUUCGCAAGAAUGAAACUCAAAGGAAUUGACGGGGGCCCGCACAAGCGGUGGAGCAUGUGGUUUAAUUCGAUGAUACGCGAGGAACCUUACCAAGGCUUAAAUG